GCCAGCAUGGUGUAGUGGUUUGAGUGCUGGACUACAACUCUGGAGAGCAGGGUUUAAAUCCCUGCUUGGCC
rnacentral:tRNA from 1 species